rnacentral:lncRNA from 1 species
AGAUGGUGGCGGUCUGGGGUCACACGGCGAUCGACGUCGCUCUCGGACAAGCUGUCCUGUUGGGAAGAGCCAUGCAUGUCAGGUGACUGUUGCAACUGUCAGACAUGUUUCAGAAAGGAAUGACUGUGUAGCACUGCUAUGUUGUUUCACCUGAGUGGACGGACGCUGGCAGUCUUGGGUCAAGGAGGUGAUCGACGUCGCUCUUGGAUGAGCUGUCCUGUGGGGAAGAGCCAUGCAUGUCAGGUCAUGAUGAAAAUGGAGGGCUCACAUUAAUGAGGCUCACUGUUAUGGCUGACCUGCCAUGCCGGGCCAUCUGGCCAACAUGUGGUUGGUCAGAUUUGUGUUGCGGAGCCAGUGCCACGAGGGCCAAGAGAUCACUAGCUCUGGCUAGAGAGGGGAUGAAGAUGCUCAUUCAAACGGGCGCCAGACAAUUACCUAACACACCUCCAGGCUGUGUAAGGGCUAUUUGACCAAGAAGGAGAGUGAUGGAGUGCUGCAUCAGAUGACCUGGCCGCCACGAUCACAUGAUCUCAACCCAGUUGAGAUGGUUUGGGAUGAGUUGGACUGCAGAGUGAAGGAAAAGCAACCAACAAGUGCUCAGCAUAUGUGGGAACUCCUUCAAGACUGUUGGAAAAGCAUUCCAGGUGAAGCUGGUUGAGAGAAUGCCAAGAGCAUACAAACCUGUCAUCAAGGCAAAGGGUGGCUACUUUGAACAAUCUGAAAUAUAAAAUAUAUAAAUCACAUUUUUAACACAUUUUUUGUUACUACAUGAUCCAAUAUGUGUUAUUUCAUAGUUUUGAUGGCUUCGCUAUUAUUCUACAAUGUAAAAAUGUUUUAAAAUAAAGAAAAACCCUUGAAUGAGUAGGUGUGUCCAAACUUUUGACCGUUACUGUACAGUGAGGGAAAAAAGUAUUUGAUCCCCCUGCUGAUUUUGUACGUUUGCCCACUGACAAAGAAAUGAUCAGUCUACAGGUUUGCACACAUCUCAGGAGGGAUUUUGUCCCACUCCUCUUUGCAGAUCUUCUCCAAGUCAUUAAGGUUUCGAGGCUGACGUUUGGCAACUCAAACUUUCAGCUCCAUCCACAAAUCUUCUAUGGGAUUAAGGUCUGGAGACUGGCUAGGCCACUCCAGGACCUUAAUGUGCUUCUUCUUGAGCCACUCCUUUGUUGCCUUGGCCGUGUGUUUUGGGUCAUUGUCAUGCUGGAAUACCCAUCCACGACCCAUUUUCAAUGCCCUGGCUGAGGGAAGGAGGUUCUCACCCAAGAUUUGACGGUACAUGGCCCAGUCCAUCGUCCCUUUGAUGCGGUGAAGUUGUCCUGUCCCCUUAGCAGAAAAACACCCCCAAAGCAUAAUGUUUCCACCUCCAUGUUUGACGGUGGGGAUGGUGUUCUUGUGGUCAUAGGAAGCAUUCCUCCUCCUCCUCCAAACACGGCGAGUUGAGUUGAUGCCAAAGAGCUCCAUUUUGGUCUCAUCUGACCACAACACUUUCACCCAGUUGUCCUCUGAAUCAUUCAGAUGUUCAUUGGCAAACUUCAGACGGGCAUGUAUAUGUGCUUUCUUGAGCAGGGGGACCUUGCAGGCGCUGCAGGAUUUCAGUCCUUCACGGUGUAGUGUGUUACCAAUUGUUUUCUUGGUGACUGGUCCCAGCUGCCUUGAGAUCAUUGACAAGAUCCUCCCGUGUAGUUCUGGGCUGAUUCCUCACCGUUCUCAUGAUCAUUGCAACUCCACGAGGUGAGAUCUUGCAUGGAGCCCAAGGCCGAGGGAGAUUGACAGUUCUUUUGUGUUUCUUCCAUUUGUGAAUAAUCGCACCAAGCUGCUUGGCGAUGGUCUUGUAGCCCAUUCCAGCCUUGUGUAGGUCUACAAUCUUGCCCCUGACAUCCUUGGAGAGCCGUUUGGUCUUGGCCAUGGUGGAGAGUUUGGAAUCUGAUUGAUUGAUUGCUUCUGUGGACAGGUGUCUUUUAUACAGGUAACAAACUGAGAUUAGGAGCACUCCCUUUAAGAGUGUGCUCUAAUCUCAGCUCGUUACCUGUAUAAAAGACACCUGGGAGCCAGAAAUCUUUCUGAUUGAGAGGGGGUCAAAUACUUAUUUCCCUCAUUAAAAUGCAAAUCAAUUUCUAACAUUUUUGACAUGCGUUUUUCUGGAUUUUUUGUUGUUGUUAUUCUGUCUCUCACUGUUCAAAUAAACCUACCAUUAAA